CACAAUGCUCCAAUGUGAUAU
rnacentral:miRNA from 1 species